CCUACGGGAGGCUGCAGUGGGGAAUAUUGGACAAUGGGGGGAACCCUGAUCCAGCGACGCCGCGUGAGUGAAGAAGUAUUUCGGUAUGUAAAGCUCUAUCAGCAGGGAAGAAAAUGACGGUACCUGACUAAGAAGCCCCGGCUAACUACGUGCCAGCAGCCGCGGUAAUACGUAGGGGGCAAGCGUUAUCCGGAUUUACUGGGUGUAAAGGGAGCGUAGACGGUGCAGCAAGUCUGAUGUGAAAGGUCGGGGCUCAACCCCGGGACUGCAUUGGAAACUGUUGAACUGGAGUACAGGGGAGGUAAGCGGAAUUCCUAGUGUAGCGGUGAAAUGCGUAGAUAUUAGGAGGAACACCAGUGGCGAAGGCGGCUUACUGGACUGUAACUGACGUUGAGGCUCGAAAGCGUGGGUAUCGAACAGGAUUAGAUACCCCAGUAGUC
rnacentral:rRNA from 1 species